rnacentral:rRNA from 1 species
CUUAAAGGAAUUGACGGGGCCGCACAAGCGGUGGAGCAUGUGGUUUAAUUCGAUGCAACGCGAAGAACCUUACCAGGGCUUGACAUCCCCUGACCGCGUAUGAAAGUACGUUUUCACCCUCGGGUGACAGGGAGACAGGUGGUGCAUGGUUGUCGUCAGCUCGUGUCGUGAGAUGUUGGGUUAAGUCCCGCAACGAGCGCAACCCCUACGUUUAGUUGCUAACGCGUGAAGGCGAGCACUCUAGACGAACUGCCGUUGACAAAACGGAGGAAGGUGGGAUGACGUCAAAUCAUCAUGCCCCUUAUGUUCUGGGCUACACACGUGCUACAAUGGCCGGUACAGACGGACGCAAAGCCGCGAGGUGGAGCAAAUCCUAAAAAGCCGGUCUCAGUUCGGAUUGCAGGCUGCAAUUCGCCUGCAUGAAGUCGGAAUCGCUAGUAAUCGCAGGUCAGCAUACUGCGGUCGAAUACGUUCCCGGGCCUU